rnacentral:tRNA from 1 species
UCGGAAGGUGCGGCUGGAUCACCUCCUUUCUCGGAAAAGCCCUUGUGUUCCAGUGCUCACGCUUAUCGGUUGUUGCAAGGUGACAGGAAAUGGAAUCACGGGACAGCGCGGCCCUUUAGCGCAUUGCGGUGUCGCCUGCCGUGACCUCGUUUUCCGACCUCUGUUACCUGACAGGGGCCUGUAGCUCAGUUGGUUAGAGCACCGUCUUGAUAAGGCGGGGGUCGAUGGUUCGAAUCCAUCCAGACCCACCAGGGUUCGCCGGGGCUGUAGCUCAGUUGGGAGAGCACCUGCUUUGCAAGCAGGGGGUCGUCGGUUCGAUCCCGUCCAGCUCCACCAGUCCGAGCCGGGCGAAGGGAGCCGGGUCGGUGUAAUGCAGAAUCCAGAAGCAAGCGGCAGUCGUGCCAAUCCUGCCGUUUGCUUCUGGUUUACUGAACCAGUGUUAUCGGUUGUUCUUUAACAAUAUGGAAGAAGUAAAGCAAUCUUGCUCGACGAGCAGGACGGAGGACGCGAGUCUUCUUUCUUGGCGCGUGGAGCGGGAUGGGUUGGAUUGUAUCGAGCCCGCUGUUCCCGGGAAGGUGGGGGCGGUGGGUAGCGCAAACACCCGUAGCCUGAGCAAAACAGUGUUCAGUGUUAUGGGGUCAAGCGACUAAGUGCAUGU